GAGAUAUCCGUACACUGUGUUCACAGGAGAAUUAUUAACAGCGGCAAAAACAUGGAAGCGCCCCAAGUGUCCAAUCGACGGAUGAAUGGAUAGACAGAAUGUGCUGUAGACACACGGUGGAGUGUUAUCCAAGCAGCAGGACAUUCUGACAUGAGCUACCAUGGGGAGGAAACUUGAGGACAUUAUGGGACUCCUGCUCCUGCAUGCCAGCCUCCUGCCCACUUCACAUGCACCUGGACUGGAAACUGAGUGUCAUUAUUGGUUUUCACAAAACUUCAACUUGUAAGCUAGGACACAGCAAGAAGACAGGAAACCAGGAGAAAAACGUGUAACAGACCCCAACCUCAAUGGCACCCUGAUCUUGGAUGCAUCAGCCUCCAGAAAUGGGGAAAACAAGUGUUUGCUGUUUAAGCAGCCCGGUCAGUGGUAAUCCUUUUGUAGGAGCCCGGGCUGUCUGAUGGUUUAGUCUGGUCCCUUGGCCGCGGCCUGCCGUGGGUGACAGCCUUCCACUGGCCUUUAGGGCACUGUGCGUCUACCUUGCGCUGAAGUCAUGGUCCUGGCCAUUCACCUCCGAUUCCAAAGUCCACCCACACUAGCCCUUCUUGGUGUCUCAGCAUUCCUUGCUGAGGACCCUGGGAACUCUCAGAAACUUUGCACUUCUCCUGCUGCCUGAGGCGAAUUUUUCCGGCCACUCACUCCUGCACAGGCUGCACAGUUGUCCCUGCACAGUCGGACAUGGACUUGCACAGUGCCCACUCCAGCCGCACAGCCCGAGGGACCAGGGAAGCAUGCCACAAGCUCCCCUUCUCCCCCGCCCAGCCCAUAUUCUCAAGAUCCUCUGUCCUAUCUGGAUGCCUCCCCCAUACCCUCUUUUAGGGAUCCUCUUUAAUCUAGGAAAACCAGACACGGGGUCCUUUUGGACUCUUGCUCCCACCACCAUCUAUCUUCCUGGCAGAACAAUCACAAGGAAAUGGCCUCCCCUUCCUCACCUCUUCGUGAAAGUCUAAUCCUCUCCUCUAUCUACCGGGAUAGACAGGGCCAGGCAGACCACAAUAGCAACCCCAACACCUUGCCUACCAGUAAUGGAAGAUCCAUACAUAGGAUCCUGGUUUCGAUUGCUUUUCCAAACCUUCCAAAGCUCUCAGAAGACUAAGGGGUCCCCUUUUAACAGUUACCACCCUCCCGAAAAGGAUUAGAAGUGACAUAUUUUUUCCCUGUUGCAUACAUUCAGUGAUUAUUAUGAUGUUAAUUAUUCAUUUAGUCAGCCACGGAAGAGGGGAAAUACAAACAAUGCAAUUAAGAAAUGCAGUUGUGUCAGCGGGAAGCCUCCCAUUCCUCCAGCACCUCCCCAAGGCUGGGCCUUCACAGAAAUCCCAGUCCCCAGAUCUGAGUCCCAAACCCGGACCUGUAGUCACAGUUCCCGGGCACUCCCCUUCCCUUACAACUACAAGAGGUAUUCAAUUCUAAUUCAAUCGCCUCCAUUAAAAACUCGGCAAAGAAAUGGAAACUGAAACAAUGUUGAAGCCCCAAUUUUGUCUAUUCUGACAAAAUGCAUAAAAUUACACCUAUAUCCAGUGUAUGGACCCUUUGACAACGGCUCAGCAGUGAGUUGCGGGGGAAGCUAAUAAAAAUUGUUCAUACACUUCGAUCUUGAAUUUAUCCCACGGAAGUAAUUCCAAAAAGGAAAAACUGUCAAAGGCACAUCAUUGUGGUGCUAUCACUAAUAGCUCCAAAUUGGUGACCUUAACCCCAAGUGAGGGGAGAGGUGAAGGAAAGCACAGUACCCGCGAAGUGGUGUAAUAUUAUGCAAUCAUGACAAAUGGUGGGAAGAUUAUGUCACAACAUCCAAAGUGCUUGUGAUUUGAUGUUUGGUAUAAACACGCAGAACCCCGGCCUGUGUCUCUACAGGUUCUCCCUGCCAGCAUCCCCCCACCCCCCCGCCCCCACCCCCACAAUAGACCGCAUUAACCAAAUCCUGACGGUGUCUCCUUCCCAGCUCCUGGUCCGGCAGUCUGCCUCUGUUCAGGCUUCCGCCUCUUUUGCACACGUGCCGGCACAGAGAUGCUCACUGUCUGUCUGCGUGUUCGUGUCUAGCUCUGGGUGAUGCAAUUUUGGAAGACAGUUUCUCUGUG